rnacentral:rRNA from 1 species
AUCUCUGUAGAGUCUGCAUAUCAAUAAGCGGAGGAAAAGAAACUAACAAGGAUUCCCCUAGUAACGGCGAGUGAAGCGGGAAGAGCUCAAAUUUGAAAUCUUCAAGGUUUGACCUUGACGAAUUGUAGUUUAAAGAAGUGUUUUCGGUUAGAGGAGUGGUAAAAGUUCUUUGGAAUAGGACAUCAUAGAGGGUGAGAAUCCCGUAUUUGACCAUUCUUUCUAGCUUUGUGAUACACUUUCAAAGAGUCGGAUUGUUUGGGAAUGCAGUCCAAAAUGGGUGGUAAAUUUCAUCUAAAGCUAAAUAUUGGCGAGAGACCGAUAGCGAACAAGUACCGUGAGGGAAAGAUGAAAAGAACUUUGAAAAGAGAGUUAAGCAGUACGUGAAAUUGUCAAAAGGGAAGCGUUUGACACCAGUGUUGUUUUUCCGAAAAUCAAUUAAAAAUGGAUUCAUGCUAAGUUGUAUUGACCUUAUCAGCUUGCAAUUUAGUUUUGGGUUUCUUUUUGAUGCACUUUUCGGUUAACAAGUCAACAUCAAUUUCCUUUGCUGUAAAAAGGCAGGAGGAAGGUGGCUUCAAUUUCGGUUGAAGUGUUUAUAGCCUUCUGUCUCUGCAGUCGGGGAGAUUGAGGUCUGCAGCGUAGAUCCUUCGGGGUUAGAUACAUUCGUGCUAAGUUAUAGCCUUUUAUAGACAACUUGUUGACUAUGAUUGGUCUUGUAAUUUACUCGCGAGUGCUAUUUUACCUACGCUUAGGAUGUUGAUCUACAGAGCGAGAGU